UCGGAGAACGCUUUCCUGCUUCCGAUGGUUGCAAUAGAUGCUAUUGCGCAGAGCCUUGGCAAGUUCAUUGUACAAUAAUGCAUUGUCCUGAUCUUUGCGAGCUUCCAAUAGAACCAGGUAACGGCAUUUUCCCUUCUGAAAGAUGGGGAUAUAACAGCGUCACCGGUCAAUGUGUCAGCUUUUCCUAUAGAGGCUGCGACGGAAACAACAAUAGAUUCGUAACUGUAGGCCAAUGUCUCCAGCGUUGUGGAGGAAGGACAGCAUGGACAGAAUUAAGAAUUGGC